rnacentral:lncRNA from 1 species
AAUGGAUUUUAAUAUGUCUUAGGAAAUGUUUGUGUGGUUUGCAUGUUUAGGCAUGCAAGAUUUUAGUGCAAGGCCUAAUUUAUGGUUUGUACAAGGCAAGGUCUUUGGUUUGGCAAGACCAUACAUCACCAAGGCAUGGCAAAUGGUGGCAAGAUUUCAAACCAAAGACUUUCUUGAUCAUGAAGAAACAUGGAAACUCAUGGGAUCAAGUAUAGAUGUAAAUGCCAUUAGUAUUAGGUUUAUGAUGACAAAAACACAAUGG